UACUGGCGGUGAAGCCUUGUUUGGAUAGUGAAGGGGGAGAGCAGCGAAGUUUAACCCGGGAGAAGUAGCUGCUGUUUGGGCUGAAACAUGGUCCAGACGUGCUCAGCGUACGGCUGUAAGAACCGGUACCACAAAGACAAGGACAUCUCAUUCCACAAGUUUCCUCUGGCGCGGCCGGACGUCUGCAGGAAGUGGGUGGCGGCGAUGAGGAGGAGCAACUUCAAGCCCACUAAGUACAGCAACAUUUGCUCCCAGCACUUCAGCCAGGACUGCUUCAAGAGGGAAUGCAACAACCGGGUCCUGAAGGACAACGCCGUGCCCUCACUGUUCGGCUUCGGCCUCAGCAUGAAGUCAGAAUCUCUAGAGAACCCGUUCUCCUCAGAGAUCGACUUCCCGCUCUCCCUGCCGGUGACCUCUGACCCUGCGCCGGUGGAGGAGGCCGGCGGCGGCCCGGCGGACGGCCGCAGCGACCCGGCGGCGGUGAGCGGCGACCAUAACUACACGGCGGAGGACUCGGCGCAGCAGAAGCGGCGCAUGGAGCAGCUGGAGGAGCAGCUGGAGCUGCUGCGGCGCAAACUGAAGACGGCGCAGCAGAAAGUCCGCCGGCAGCAGCGGCAGCUCAAGAGGCUGCGGGCGGGGCGGGGGGCGCGGGCCGGGCGUGGGCCGCCCGCCGCCCGCUACGUGGUCGUACCCAAACACCUCUACCACACCCUGAAGGGGGUCCAGUGACCAGAACCAGAACCAGGGUUCCCUCUGACCAGCUGGACAGUUUGUUGGACUUCAGGAACGUGGACGAUCAGCAGCAGUGGGGCCUCCUGCACAACCAGCAGCUGCUUUAUGUAAAAUAAUUUUCUAGGAAAGUAAGUGCACCCUGAGGACUUCAUCAUCAUCAUCAUCAUCAUCAUCAUCAUCAUCAUCAUCAUCAUCAUCCUCCUCCUCCUCCUCAUGGGUUCAGCGGCUCGCCCGGCCAGCAGGUGGCAGCAGAGAGCUGUGAGUCAGAAACGAGUCGUGCAUGAAACACAAACUGGAUUAUUCUACAGAUUUCUCCUUUAAUGGAGGAUAAAACCUGAUGGAGGGAAGAGCUGGAAGGAUUCACAAAAUAUGUCAGGAAAAAAGGCUAAUUAUUAUUAUUAUUUUAUUUAUUUUCUAAGUCUGACCAAAUUUUAUUUUUCUAUUAACAUUAAAAGUUAAA